AAAGCUUCGCUGCUGCCCCUGCAAGCUGCUGGCACCACGUUCAGCUCAUCAGCCUCUCAGUGAAGUAGCGCUGGAAACAUCCAGGAUCCGCUUCCUCUUCCUGUUAUUUCUGUAGCACAGCUGAUGCCAUUUGUCACUUGCAGUUUCAUUUCUCCGCUGGGAUUUUGCUACUCAGAAUCAAAAUAUUCCAUGUCCUGCCUCACCAAACCACAGAAGAGCUGAGCCCUGCAGCCCCCUGCCCCUCGGAUCUGCACCACCCGCAAAGGAAGUGUGGAGAAAAGGAGAACCCAAGCAGCGGGCUGUCCUCCUACUGCACUUCAUUCUGCAUUUCCUAUCCUCACACGUGGCUGAUUCCCAUAUGGUCAGAGGGGUCACACAAAGGAAACUGAGCACUAAACUACUGCACUAACCUCAGGUGACCCAGAAAACAUCAGCUGAGAACUGCAGCCAGCAAAUCACUCCAGCUCCGUCCUGUGCAGUGGCAGUGCCAUUGAUUCCUGUGGUGCAGGCCCUAUCUGAAAAGCUUUGCUGAAAAUAGUCAUGUGCAGCAUCACCCUAGGAUUCCUCUUUAAAGUAUAGCAUCUUAAACAAUUCUCAGUGCCACCAACAGGGCAGACCAGCCUAGGGUUUGCCCCGGUUUUCUUUUUCUUCAGCAUGACUAAGGAGAGCCUUUUGCACUGUUCCAUGUGCUUUUCAGGCAGAAAGUUUAGUCUAUAUAUAAUAUCUUAUUUUCUGAUCAUAAUGCUUCAAAAAUGUUAAGCUACCUCAUAGCUCAGCCUAAUCAAAGAGCUGCCACUGACUUCAGUAGGAAGCACAUUGAGACUUCACUAGUGCAAUGCAGAUCAUUUUUGGUACCUUUCCAGUAAAGGAGACAGCUCUUCUGGCAUAUAUUAAAUAUCACUGUCCUUACUCUGUGUGGAGAAGCAAAUGGCUCUGUUGCGGGGAGACUUCUGAUGACUUAUGAUCCAAAUAGACCACAGAAACCUCAUUCUCUUAAAAAGGACUGAGCCGUGUCUUGGAUUUGUUUUCUGCUACUAAUCUCACAUGAAGUUCAUCAUUCUCCAGCAGUAUAACUUAGAGCACGGCCUGCAAUCCCUCUGGAGAUCUGAAAGGGUUUGGAAGAGGUCAUGUAAAAUUACAGAAAAGAAAGUCAGAUCAGUUCUCCCAGGCAAAGAGUGGUGUUUACGGGCUACUAGUAUUUGCAUUAGCUGAGGAGAUGUGAUCUUCCUCUCACUGUUUUUAAUUGGCUGGCAUUAGUUAGGUCUCUUCAGCACACGGGCAUGACUGUUUAUACUUGCAAGCAGUAAUAACCAGCAGUUCUCAUUGCCCCAUCCUAAAGGGACUGACCUGCUGUUAAUUCAGGAGGUUGUAGAAAAGAUGAACCAGAGGGAGCUGCAUUUUCGGAAAUCUCUUAUGUCUCACAGUCAGUAGGGAAUAGAUGGCAAAUGGUUUCCCCAUUGUUGAAGAGGCAAAUAACACACAGGCUCAAAAUUAUGAAACAAAGGUAGAAAGGGCUGGACAUUCAGCUGGCCUCCACACUCACAGAACUCCCAUUUUUAAGAGACAAGUUCACUGUAUGAGCUAGGAAGGAGGUAAACUAAUAAAUAUGGAGCUAAUAAAAAGGGAGACUCAAAGAACACCCAUCAAAAUCAAGAUGUUAAGAACAAAAUUAGUCAUGAAGACAAAGGACACCAAAAGAAGAAAAAUUUAAUUGCCUUAUCAUCAGCACCAAGAGGGGGAUAACAGAUGAGAGAGACGAGAUUUACACAGCUAUGAGCAACAUGAGACUGUAACACAGCCCAGCAUGAUGAGGAUGUUGAAGUGAGUCUUGGGUCUGCAUAGCCAUGGGGAGCAGAGGAGAUGGCGUUGCAUGUCAUGUAAGAUCCAUCACUACUUUGUGUGGCUGAGAAAUCACUCACAGCUCAAGCUUGGCACAGCCCCAUUCAUUAUGUUCGUGUGUUCAACCCAGCCACCACAGACUCCUGCAACCACGAUGCUCUCUUUGCAGAUCUGAUAAAGGUGCACCCCCUGCAAUUCAUCUUUGAGUUGCUCUUGGUAAAGAAAAUUAUCUUGAAAGCUUAUUAAUUCACUUUGUCACAUGUGAAAUUCAAAUGAGUGAGCAGGUGGUCUGUGCUGAAGACCAUAAAAUCACAUCAAUUAGCUAGGUGACUAGAUCCAUAAUCAGCAAUUUGUUAUGCCAGAGCAGAAGACUGCAUCACACAGAACUUCAAUCUGAAUGAAACAUGUUGGAUGUCUUCUGUUGCCACUAAAAAAUGCACAAGUACAUGUAAUCAUUUCCUAUUUAGCAAAUGGAAUGCAUCCAAAAUAAAGUACAACUCUACAGGAAC
rnacentral:lncRNA from 7 species